rnacentral:lncRNA from 1 species
CAUUAUUGAAGUUUUUCUUUGAUUUAGUAAAAGGCGAAGUGGAGUUUCUAACAAAGAGUUUGGUUGAAAGAACAAAUUCACAGCAUCAACAAGUCUUGCCACAGACAGUUCUUGUGAAGACAUUCUUGCUUGAAAGUGGAACCGCAGUGCUUUUUACCAAACACAUAAAUAUUCUAGCAGAUUGGGUCAUACUUUCCCACAGAGAAUUGAAUGGAAAAAAUGAUGAGUUCAGAAGUGAAGUUUCUGGUCUAUUAAAUGCAAUUCUUGGAACUGUAGUGGACUAUU